rnacentral:misc_RNA from 1 species
AGCACAUCAUGCCCGACUUGCUUGGAGGAGGUUCUUACUGAUUUCUUUUUACAGGGGAAGAACUUCUAUUCCAUUAAGUAGAAUUGCUCAAGCAUUUAGUUUGGCUCUAUGCCGCUCUGCAGUUGUUGUUCCUGGUAUAUUUGCCUUAAGAUAUGGAAAGAAUGUAGCAGUGGCAGAGGCAGAGGCAGAGGCCAUGCCGGUUAUGGACCUUUCCUCGCCAAGGAAUACAUUUUAUCUACGUGCACAAGAUAGUCAUGUCUUAU